ensembl:rRNA 5S_rRNA 5S ribosomal RNA
CUCCGCAGCCAUAUCACCCUGUAGCCCAAGACUGGUUGCUCACUGAAGCUAAGCAGGGAUAAGCCUGGUCAGUACUGUGAAUGGAUGGGAGACCUCCUGGGAAAACUAGGUUGCUGCUGGAA